GACGAACGCUGGCGGCGUGCUUAACACAUGCAAGUCGAACGGAAAGGCCCUGCUUUUGUGGGGUUCUCGAGUGGCGAACGGGUGAGUAACACGUGAGUAACCUGCCCUUGACUUUGGUAUAACUUCAGGAAACUGGGGCUAAUACCGGAUAGGAGCUCCUGCUGCAUGGUGGGGGUUGGAAAGUUUCGGCGGUUGGGGAUGGACUCGCGGCUUAUCAGCUUGUUGGUGGGGUAGUGGCUUACCAAGGCUUUGACGGGUAGCCGGCCUGAGAGGGUGACCGGCCACAGUGGGACUGAGAUACGGCCCAGACUCCUACGGGAGGCAGCAGUGGGGAAUAUUGCACAAUGGGCGGAAGCCUGAUGCAGCAACGCCGCGUGCGGGAUGACGGCCUUCGGGUUGUAAACCGCUUUCGCCGGUGACGAAGCGUGAGUGACGGUAAUGGGUAAAGAAGCACCGGCUAACUACGUG
rnacentral:rRNA from 1 species